rnacentral:rRNA from 1 species
UACAGGGGGUGCAAACGUUGCUCGGAAUCAUUGGGCGUAAAGCGCACGUAGGCGGUCUGUUAUGUCGGAUGUGAAAGCCCUUGGCUCAACUGAGGAAGUGCAUCCGAAACUGCAGAGCUGGAGUCCCGGAGAGGAAAGCGGAAUUCUCGGUGUAGAGGUGAAAUUCGUAGAUAUCGAGAGGAACACCGGUGGCGAAGGCGGCUUUCUGGACGGUGACUGACGCUGAGACGCGAAAGCGUGGGGAGCAAACAGG